ensembl:lncRNA
UGCAACCGCUUGCUACAAAUGGCCACAACAACUAGGAAUUGUCCUUUAAAGCUUUUCCAGAGACCAGGAGAUGGUGCUGUUUCUUAACAAAUGUCCAUCAUUUCCCCUCUAAUCAGACUGGGUCAUGUGGCUGAAAGCAGAGAGAGAACCAGCAGGACUCUGAACAAAUGUUUGAAACCACACUCCAGGACUGUCACAUCAGUGCAGCAGCUGAUUUCACUAAUUAGGCUCUGCUCUCUGUGUGAACACGUGUCAGUCACUUAAAUCUGGUGUUGCUGUGUUUGUUUAGAAGAAAUCCUGCAUCGGCUCAGCACUCAGUGCCUGCUUUGUCACAGUCUGGGGGAGGCAGACUGUAUGAAUAGAAAAAAAAGGACCCAAAACGCAGACUCCAAGGAACAGGGAACAGAACUUGAAUGUUAACAAAAAGCGAGCCGUUUAAUAAGGCUGGUAAAAAAAAAAAAGGGUACAAAGAAAGGGCAAGGCAAACUGAAGUAAACUGUCAACAUCAACCUAAACUGGAAGAGCAAAAUAAACAACAAGAAAAACCUAGACAUGAAACAUGACACGAAAACCUUGGCAUGAACAACAGACGACCUGACAAAGAAUGAACAGAAACACACAGACUAAAUACACACAAGGGUGAUUAGGGGAAGUGAAAGACAUGCAGCUUGAACAUUUAAGGGGAAAAGGGAGACUAAAACACAGGGGUAGAAGACACAAGGGGAAUCUAAAUAAACAAAUGAGCUUAGAUAACCUAAUGAACUAAAAAAUAAACCAUAAACAUCAAAAUAAACUAAAACUCAAAACGCUGGGUCAACAGACCCAGGAACGUGACAUGCUUUUGUAUGGAUGGAAGCAUAUUUGGAUUGCAGUGGUUAUCAGCAGUGGCUCGGUGUUUCAGUUUCCAGACACUUUACUUGAAUUCAGUUUGGUUUAUAUUACAUCAAAUCACAACAGCAAUCAAAGUGCUUUAUAUCAUAAAGUAACUGCCCUAGUGAGAAACCCCACAAAUCAGACUACCCUCCAUGAGCAAGUACUUGGCGACCG